GAGCUAAUCCCCAGGUGCAGCCACAAAGGGGUUCUCCACCGGUGAGAAAAAGUAUCUGCACAGGAUGACUCAGAAUCCUCUGUGGGCUCCAGAUGGACACAGAGGAACAUGAAAUGGAGGAGGUUACUGGUUUCAGGUGGAUGCAGAAGUGAAAGUACUACCAUAUGUGAGAGAGGUUCUGGCUGUCACAGUCUGACUGACAUUGAAAGGGGACCUAAUUUAGAGCUAAAGUGUGAAAUCCUGGCCUCAUUGAAGUCACUGGCAAAAUUCCUAUUUGCUUCAAGGGAGUGAGGAUUUCAUCCAAGAAAUACCGGCAUUAACAGCACCCCAUUCAUGUGGUUCCCUCGUCGUCCCGGAAGAGUACAACACAGGGAUAUAUGUGUAAGGACAACAUACUGCUAGAAGGGGCCCUGGAGAGCAGCAAAUGGCAACCAGACUGCAGAGCUGGCACUUCUGUUCCUCAUGGAUGCAUAGAAUCUACAUGAUUUGGAGAUGUACCCCCAGGAAAAAGCAUCCCGGUCUACCAGCCUCCACACAACUCCUUUGAUGCGCAUCUGAUCAUGCAAGGUUCUUAUGGAAAUUACACCAGCCUUGCACAAUUGCCAUGGAAAUUUUCCAGCCCAGAAUCUAGAUGGAAGAACGGAGAUAACCAUACAAUACCACUGGGAAAUAUUUUGAAAUCCUUAAGUUAAUAGACAAGAGAACUGACCUUGCACUGAAGUAGUUUUGUAGGGAAAUUCCACACUGGCAGGUAAAUAAGGAAACAUUUUUGCGGCAAGUUGCUUUUUAAAAAAUGGCAGCUGCUUGGAAGCUGCUGAAAGGUUUGGAAUCUGAGGCAGCAGAAAUGGAAUA